rnacentral:rRNA from 1 species
GCAAGUCGAACGAGUUCUCGUUGAUGAUCGGUGCUUGCACUGAGAUUCAACAUCGAACGAGUGGCGGACGGGUGAGUAACACGUGGGUAACCUGCCCUUAAGUGGGGGAUAACAUUUGGAAACAGAUGCUAAUACCGCAUAGAUCCAAGAACCGCAUGGUUCUUGGCUGAAAGAUGGCGUAAGCUAUCGCUUUUGGAUGGACCCGCGGCGUAUUAGCUAGUUGGUGAGGUAAUGGCUCACCAAGGCGAUGAUACGUAGCCGAACUGAGAGGUUGAUCGGCCACAUUGGGACUGGGACACGGCCCAAACUCCUACGGGAGGCAGCAGUAGGGAAUCUUCCACAAUGGACGCAAGUCUGAUGGAGCAACGCCGCGUGAGUGAAGAAGGCUUUCGGGUCGUAAAACUCUGUUGUUGGAGAAGAAUGGUCGGCAGAGUAACUGUUGUCGGCGUGACGGUAUCCAACCAGAAAGCCACGGCUAGCUACGUGCCAGCAGCCGCGGUAAUACGUAGGUGGCAAGCGUUAUCCGGAUUUAUUGGGCGUAAAGCGAGCGCAGGCGGUUUUUUAAGUCUGAUGUGAAAGCCCUCGGCUUAACCGAGGAAGCGCAUCGGAAACUGGGAAACUUGAGUGCAGAAGAGGACAGUGGAACUCCAUGUGUAGCGGUGAAAUGCGUAGAUAUAUGGAAGAACACCAGUGGCGAAGGCGGCUGUCUGGUCUGUAACUGACGCUGAGGCUCGAAAGCAUGGGUAGCGAACAGGAUUAGAUACCCUGGUAGUCCAUGCCGUAAACGAUGAAUGCUAGGUGUUGGAGGGUUU